UAGGUGGACUCAUUUGGUCAUCUUUUUGCAAUUUUGGUAAUAUCAUCUUCCGCCAGCUGCGCUUUCACUCUGUCAAGGAGCAGAUAUUAAUUAGAAUCUCGGCAAAUCAUACACCUCUCCACAGAAUCUUAUUCAUAGUUUGAACCUUCAAGCCAUUAUUGAUGGUGGAAGGAAGAUUGCAAAUGCAAUAAGCGACGCACAAGCUAUAUCAGACUCCGGUCUCUUCAAAUCCUUUGAUGUUUUGCCUUGGAGGAACAUAUUCCCAAAUUGAGUAAACUUUUUCUCCCAAUAUUUGAAGCUUUUUUAGUGCUUCUAUUGCUGGACCCUAAUAAUCACUUCAUGAGC